CAGCUUUUCUCGGAGGGCAGGGCUGGUGUUAAUGGCUCUUAUGUGGUAUUCAGAAUAAUAGAAUUACUAAGAAGAGCUCCAGUUUGCUAAAAAUCUUGUGGAUUUCCACCAUCCAUCUUUCCCUUCUCCUCAUCAGAAUAUGAGACAAGUCGAUGCAAAGAGGAUGAUCUGCAAACAGGAAGACAGGAACAGCCCAUCUCCAAAUCCCUAGAAAGCUUGUUCAAUGCCAGAAGUACAGAGGCACUGCAGCAAAAGUCACGAGAGCGGGAAAACUCAGAGCAGCAGCAAUCGGAGCUGUCAGUAUUGCAAUACUGGACCUGUCUUCCUGCCGUCCUGUCAAGAUAACACACUCAAGGUAACCCUGACCACGCCACUGUAGAGCUGAUGAAGGAUUGGAAGGUCACCGUUACUGCUUUGUAUCGUCUAACACAGCUCGCUCCUAUCAACAUAAGUGAUUUUUCUAGGUAAGUGUGGCUAUUGAUUAAGAAUAUGACUUCCCUCUGGAAUCCUGCCAAGAAUAUGAGAUUAAAAUUUUAUUUUCUUCGGCGCAGGAAUAAAGUAAACAAAGUAUCAGCUAUGGCUCA
rnacentral:lncRNA from 1 species